GCCGAAGAAGCACUGUGAAACAUAGUUUUUACACCUGAUUUGUAAUCAGGGGGUCCCGGGUUCGAACCCUGGCGGGGGCACCA
rnacentral:tRNA from 1 species